rnacentral:rRNA from 1 species
GAUGAACGCUGGCGGCGUGCCUAAUACAUGCAAGUCGAGCGAACAGAUGAGGAGCUUGCUCCUCUGACGUUAGCGGCGGACGGGUGAGUAACACGUGGAUAACCUACCUAUAAGACUGGGAUAACUUCGGGAAACCGGAGCUAAUACCGGAUAAUAUAUUGAACCGCAUGGUUCAAUAGUGAAAGACGGUUUUGCUGUCACUUAUAGAUGGAUCCGCGCCGCAUUAGCUAGUUGGUAAGGUAACGGCUUACCAAGGCAACGAUGCGUAGCCGACCUGAGAGGGUGAUCGGCCACACUGGAACUGAGACACGGUCCAGACUCCGACGGGAGGCAGCAGUAGGGAAUCUUCCGCAAUGGGCGAAAGCCUGACGGAGCAACGCCGCGGGAGUGAUGAAGGUCUUCGGAUCGUAAAACUCUGUUAUUAGUGAAGAACAAAUGUGUAAGUAACUAUGCACGUCUUGACGGUACCUAAUCAGAAAGCCACGGCUAACUACGUG